UUGGAGGGCAAGUCUGGUGCCAGCAGCCGCGGUAAUUCCAGCUCCAAUAGCGUAUAUUAAAGUUGUUGCAGUUAAAAAGCUCGUAGUUGAAUUUCGGGAUCAACAUGUCGGUCGUGCCUCCGGUACGUACUGGCAUCGUUGGUUUCUACCUUCUGACAAACCAUGAUGUCAUUAAUUUGGUGUCAUGGGGAAUCAGGACUUUUACUUUGAAAAAAUUAGAGUGUUUAAAGCAGGCACACGCUUGAAUACAUUAGCAUGGAAUAAUGAAAUAGGACGUUUGACCCUAUUUUGUUGGUUUCUAGGAUCGACGUAAUGAUUAAUAGGGAUAGUUGGGGGCAUUAGUAUUCAAUUGUCAGAGGUGAAAUUCUUGGAUUUAUUGAAGACUAACUACUGCGAAAGCAUUUGCCAAGGAUGUUUUCAUUAAUCAAGAACGAAAGUUAGGGGAUCGAAGACGAUCAGAUACCGUCGUAGUCUUAACCAUAAACUAUGCCGACUAGGGAUCGGAUGAUGUUAAUUUUUUAAUGACUCAUUCGGCGCCUUACGGGAAAC
rnacentral:rRNA from 1 species